rnacentral:pre_miRNA from 1 species
AUAUCUCAUCAUUGUGCUGCUCCAACCAAAGAUCUCAUCAUUGUGCUGCUCCAACAAAAGCUUUAGUUGGAGCAGCACAAUGAUGAGAUCUUUUGUUGGAGCAGCACAAUGAUGAGAUCUU